rnacentral:tRNA from 1 species
GGGCAGGUACCCAAGUGGACAACGGGGGCAGACUGUAAAUCUGCUGCUAUGUAGCUUCCAAGGUUCGAAUCCUUGCCUGCCCACCA